GGAGUUAGCCGGUGCUUCUUCUGCGAGUAACGUCACAGAUGUAAGGUAUUAACUUACACCCUUUCCUCCUCGCUGAAAGUUCUUUACAACCCGAAGGCCUUCUUCACACACGCGGCAUGGCUGCAUCAGGGUUUCCCCCAUUGUGCAAUAUUCCCCACUGCUGCCUCCCGUAGGAGUCUGGGCCGUGUCUCAGUCCCAGUGUGGCUGAUCAUCCUCUCAGACCAGCUAGGGAUCGUCGCCUAGGUGAGCCUUUACCUCACCUACUAGCUAAUCCCACCUGGGCUUAUCCAUCAGCGCAAGGCCCGAAGGUCCCCUGCUUUCCCCCGUAGGGCGUAUGCGGUAUUAGCAGUCGUUUCCAACUGUUAUCCCCCACAAAUGGGCAAAUUCCCAGGCAUUACUCACCCGUCCGCCGCUCGUCAUCUUCAAAAGCAAGCUUUUGAAAUGUUACCGCUCGACUUGCAUGUGUUAGGCCUGCCGCCAGCGUUCAAUCUGAGCCAGGAUCAAACUCUGA
rnacentral:rRNA from 1 species